GCAAGUUUUAGGGAAGAAACGCCUGUAGCGAGUAAUCAGAAGAGAAGGGUGAAAGCCAAGAGCCUUUGACUUCCCCAGUGCACUUAAUUUUCUUGUUCUUCUCUCUUUCAGGACAGGGAAAAUCAUUGACUUGGGUCCAGCAAUGCCAAAUGUGUUGGGGUGUGAGCAGCCAAAGCAACAGGCUCCAGCCCCACCGACCGGCGCUGGGGGCUCCUGGUGCUGCCCGUGGGGUGGGGGGUGCAGGGUCUGAGGGAUUGGAUUUCCCUGGGGGUUUGCAGGAGACCAGGAAUGAGAGGAAACGCAGUGCCAGAGCAGGCUGUGUUUGCCUCUGAGGACAGAGAGCCUGUGGGCUGAGAGGAAAAAUGAUUGGUAAUUGCUUCUGAUCCGUGGAGAAUCUCCUUUGGAAUGAUCAAGCAGAGAGCGUACCAAGAAAGCAGCAAAUAUAUCCUGAUAAGCCCCGAAUAUGCCAGGAGGUUUCAGCCGGGAGGAAAGGAGCUGUGGAAGAAAAGCAGCCUAAAAAUAGCCAGCAGGGAUCAUCAGGUUUUCCAGCCAAGAAGAACAAGGAGAGAGAUGAGGGAAUCGGGUUCCAAUUCCUAAUGAUUUGGUGGGUGCAGGAAUGAUUUGUGUGUGUUUUCCAGUCCCUUUUGAUUCCUGAGAUGAUUUUAAAAUGAUGGCUUUAGCAAUCAACUAAA